rnacentral:rRNA from 1 species
AACGUAGGAUCCGAGCGUUGUCCGGAAUCACUGGGUGUAAAGGGUGCGUAGGCGGGCUUGCGCGUCAAGGGUUAAAGACCUCGGCUCAACCGAGGCAAUGCCCUUGAUACGGCUAGCCUUGAGUGCGGGAGAGGAUGGUGGAAUUCCUGGUGUAGCGGUGAAAUGCGUAGAGAUCAGGAGGAACACCGAAGGCGAAGGCAGCCAUCUGGACCGCCACUGACGCUGAGGCACGAAAGCGUGGGGAGCAAACAGG